CGGGAGGCGGAGCUUGCAGUGAGCCAAGAUCACACCACUGCACUCUAGUCUGGGCCACAGAGUGAGACUCUGCCUCAAAAAAAUACAAAACAUAAAUAAAUAAAAUAGCAAAUUCUUACUUGUGUUGUUUAGAGCACACACAGUCACAUGUGAAGCAAAUCAUUUAAUCCCAAGCAUGGAUUAUGAUUUUCUUACUAUGUGGCAUCCCAGAGAGGGCGUUUCUGUUUUCAAGUUUUUUUAAGGUCUCCAUUAAAAGCGUGAAAUUCUCUGAAAGUCGCCGCAAGCUGGGCGGCGUGUGUGCGGGACUGUCUGAUCAGUGUGUGGGCCUUGUCUGACCUGAGGAAAGUGUAGUGGGGUCUGAGCUGACGUCCGGCCGCACUCACCUGCUGUAGGGAAGGGUGGAUUAAGUCACUUCCCUAAAUUGUUUCCUCAUCUGUAGAACUGGGAUUGUGUCCACCUCAUCGGUAAGUAAAUAGGCUAAUUAAUUAAGCGGAAUCUCUGAGAAGUGAUGCUCCCUGGGUCAGCAGAAGUCUAAAUAACGAGGCAGCCUGUGGUUCGUGGUGGGGGGUACGUACAGUGACUACUGCAUUUUCAAACACUUCUCUUGCUUCUUCAUAGGCACAGAUUUCUUCAUAACAUUCUUUUUCCAAGUUUCCCUCGAAGAGUUCUUCCAGGAGAUAGGAGCCCGCACGCUUCCACCUCACCAGAACGUCAUUUGCUUUGGAGGCCGGGAGAAAUACUACAGACAAGACAAGAAGACAGGUGACUGGGAGCACCGAGGGCCCUGCUUUCCAGAGCUGCCUGGCUUCCGCCCCAGCCAGCCGCCAGCCCCUGCCCGCUCCGUCUCCACAGCCUCUCAGCCGCGAGGGCCUCAGGACCACCCCGCCACUCCCUCCCCUGUGGUAGGCAAGCACUUCAUCCUCUGGGCAAAUGGACCAGCCGCAGGAUCCGUGCAGAUACAUUAAGGGUCUGCAGAGAGGCCACGGGCCUCAGUCAGGAAAGUGGAGGAGGAAGGGCUCCAACCGGGUUUUGGGUCCCGGUGCGAAGGAAGGCCGAGCUGGGAUCAGAGGUCACUGUGCUGAGAACUGGGGACCAAGAGCCAUCACUCCUGGGCUGCCUCUGUGCACAGGAUUUAACAUCUUGAUAAAACACAAAGAGAAGAAACUUAUACAUUGCAGCAGGCUCUGCGAUUUCCAGGAGGAGAAGGCAAACCAGUCGGCCCGCGGCAGUCGUCUCUAGAGCCUCUUCCGGCCCGAGGGCCCCAAAGCACGUUGUCUCCUCUCGCGGAGGGUCAAAGCCCAGGCCCUUCACAUCCUCCCUCCCUUUCUCUCGGUGCUGAGGGUUACAGCAGGGACGGCUCAGCUAAGUCCGGCCACGCUUUCCUGGACGCCUGUGCAGGCAGAGUCAGGAUGGAGUCCGCGUCUGUUCCUCCAGCGAAGCGGCUGGUGGUAGAAGGGUGGCAGGCGGGCAGGGUGGCUGCUCCCUGGCUGUGUCUCCUGACUCAAGACUGAGCACUCCUGGCCAGCCUGGCCCAGGCACUCUCUGCCCACAUUGCAGUCGGGGCUCGGCCUGCCCCAGCCCCUCCCCUCCUGUCCAGUGCCCAGCCCAGGCCUGGGGCCCCCCUCCUCCCUCCUCCCCCUCCCUGGCCUCUCCCCACCGAAUCUCCUGCACACACGCUUCUUUCCAUUUGGGCAUCUCUUGGGAGGACCCCAAGUGACACCAUCAUGUCCCAAAUACUUGUCACCAAAUGAUAAAGACCUAAACGGCUUUUUCAGGGGAAUUAAGACAAGUCUGGGCACUCAGGGCUCCUCCGGCUCCUGGGAAAAGUGUCAUCUACAAAUCCACCGUGGACUGAAUCAAGGACACAGCACAGGCACAACAGACAGGGUGGCAGCAGAGAGAACGAGUGCAAGCAGCGGAAAUGCCAGAUGCUUAUAAAACCCUCAAAUCUCAUGAGACUCACUCACUGUCCCAAGAACAGCAUGGCAGAAACCACCCCAUGAUCCAAUCACCUCCCACCGGGUCCCUCCCUCGACACGUGCGGAUUGUGGGAAUUACAAUUCAAGACAAGCUUUGGGUGGGGACACAGUCAAACCGUAUCAGUACCUGAAGCCUGAGGUUCACUUGGUUUUCAUGGCCAUUUAACUUGAGGCCUGGGGACACUGCCGGAUGGAGCGGGGUAAGGACUCCACAUCUGGACCUGAGGAGAGGAGGAGCCCCCUGCAGCCCUCCUGCCACACACCCCCACUCAGCACCUGAGGCGCUCCAGAAGCUUCCAGAGGCUCCUGGCCAGCUUCACUCCAGAGACUGAUCUCAGGGGCCAGGCUGUGGCCUGGAUGCAGGCACGCUAAAGCCCCCAGGGGGUUCUAAGGGUGGCCAGGGUGGGGGCCCACUGUGCAAGGUCAGGUCACCGCCUGGUGAGCAGGUCACCCACCCGGGGGAUGUCCGUGCGCCCCCACCAUGCAAGCCCAAGCUGGGGUGGGGCCUGGCACCGUGCGGUUGAAGAGCACCCGGUGGUUUAGGUCAAUGCAAAACGUCCGCCCCAACGAGAGGCUUUCUGGACGUUUCCCUACCGGGGAGUCUGCGAGUCAUAGGCAGUCACCGGGGAGGUGUCAGUUCCCCAGGGGACAAGAGAGCCCAGGCCAGGUGGGAGGUCUCGGGGAGGACAUGCCAGCGUGUGGGCCCCUCCCGACCCCACGGGGCCUGCACAGGCUCCCACCUGCCUCUGGGCAUGACGCAGACACGGGAAGCUGUCUGGGGAAAGGAAUGCCCAUGGUAG